rnacentral:rRNA from 1 species
GAUGAACGCUGGCGGCGUGCUUAACACAUGCAAGUCGAACGGGAAAUACUUCAUUAGGACUUCGGUGGUUUUGAUUUAUUUCUAGUGGCGGACGGGUGUGUAACACGUUGGUAACCUGCCUUAUUCAGGGGGAUAACAGUCAGAAAUGGCUGCUAAUACCGCCUAAGCGCACGGCGGUGCAUGGCUCGGUGUUAAAAACUCCGGUGGUCUAGGAUGGACCCGCGUUGGAUUAGCUAGUUGGUGGGGUAACGGCCCACCAAGGCGACGAUCCAUAGCUGGCCUGAGAGGGUGAACGGCCACAUUGGGACUGAGACACGGCCCAGACUCCUACGGGAGGCAGCAGUGGGGAAUAUUGCACAAUGGGGGAAACCCUGAUGCAGCGACGCCGCGUGAAGGAAGAAGUAUCUCGGUAUGUAAACUUCUAUCAGCAGGGAAGAUAGUGACGGUACCUGACGAAGAAGCCCCGGCUAACUACGUG